rnacentral:lncRNA from 1 species
GGGUGUCUGACGGAGAGAAAUGGCUAGCUACCCGUCUAAGAGGAGCUUGGAGUAUGGCUCUCGCAGGAGCCCGGACGGAGUCUUCUUUCAGUUGAAGUCGGGGAUGAGAUCUAGCUCCCGUAGGAGCCCGGGCGAAGUCUACCUGUAAUCAUAGUCAGGGGUGAAGUCUGGCUCCCGUAGGAGUCCAGACGAAGUUUACCUGCAAUUAGAGUCAGGGACAAAGUU